UACGUAGGGUGCGAGCGUUAAUCGGAAUUACUGGGCGUAAAGGCGCGUAGGCGGCCUGUUAAGUCGAACGUGAAAUCCCCGGGCUCAACCCGGGAACUGCGUCCGAUACUGGCAGGCUUGAAUCCGGGAGAGGGAUGCGGAAUUCCAGGUGUAGCGGUGAAAUGCGUAGAUAUCGGGAGGAACACCAGUGGCGAAGGCGGCUUCCUGGCCUGCUCUUGACGCUGAGGCGCGAAAGCUAGGGUAGCAAACGGG
rnacentral:rRNA from 1 species